CACCAGUCCCACCACGCGGUAG
rnacentral:miRNA from 1 species